UCCGUAUUUUCGAGGGGCUAGCAGGCUGUAUAAAGAAGUUUUAGAUUAUGUACCAUGUCCGUUUCACUAAGCAGCAGUACACGUUUCAGUAUCGGCAGGAGCAUCUCGCUCGCUUGUAAUGUUUCAUAAUUAUUAAUAUUAGCCAGAAUCGUAGCAUACAAUAAGUCGCAAUAUAUAUGAUCCUACCUCAGUCGCCGCAUACCCACGCCCACCGUAACGAAGGCCCGCGCCGUAAGAAUCUACAUGGACCGCAAACCAUCAAAUAGUCAAAGAACCUCUGCAGCCUCCAAUGAUGAUCCGAGGCAGCCCAGUCCAUAGAGGAGGCAUAAGAGAGGAAGGGGAGGAAUAUUUGCAUGGAUUAGUGUCCGCAGACUCCUUCUCGUAUAUCGCAAAACCAUCCUCAGGUUGAUGGUCUCUGCUCUCGUCUCCAUCAGCGGGCCGUCACCAGUCUGCAGAAAUCCAGCACAAGGAAGAAAGGAAGGAAGAGGGAUUAGUGUUAGAGCCAUGUUGCCUGGUGUCACAACAAGAGCUGCGACCCCUAUAUUUCUCAUUAAUAUCUUUUCAGUUCAAUUUAUAAUUCAGUUAUAAGUAUAAGCUGAGGAAGUAAUCGGCUGAGUGAGAUUUGCCUACAUUGUGACACUACAACAGAGAAUCAAUAAGAAGCCAAUCUUUGGGAUUAUCGUUUGUAAUCAUUACUCGUAAGCCAGAGUCAUAUCUGAAGAAUAAAGUUGUAAGGGUUCCUCUCACUCAUCCAACAAACCUCACACAGCGCCGGCUCCCUCAAACACCACAGUCAAUAUCUAAGAAUCGCCAGACAAUUCCCUACUGCCAUCAAUGUGAGACACGAAGCCAUCAUUGUAGUCCAGAAUGAAGAGGAGC